GGAGGUCUACUGGACGGGGCAGCACUGCAGCUGGGAGUGGAGGAACCUGAAGGAGCAGACUGGGGGGCCCCACGAGGGGCCACGGGACACCCAGGGAGGGUGGGGAGCUGCUUAGAAGAGGUUGGAGCCCAGGGAGGGCCUGGGUGGGACUGUCACGGGGCGAGUGGAGAGAUGGGCUGUGGGCCGAGACCCAAGGCUAUAAACUGGGAGGGGCCGUGAGCCCGCCCACGGGGAGCAGCGAUCCACAGCCGCCUCUGUGGAGCCCGAUGUGUCUCAGCCCUUCCUCCCCUACGGGCCUCUCCAUUUGCCCCCCUCCUGCUUUAAUUACCAGCAUCUAGGGCAGCCGGCACGCCAGGCGGCUUCGCACUAAUUAAAGUGGGGGCUUUACAGGAUGGCGCCGUCCCCCCAGGCCCGGGAGACCUCACAGCGCCAGUGACCCACAGGCCAGAUCAUUCCCGAGUUAAACAGGCAGAGACCAGGCCUGGAGCCUGCAGCCAGGGCCGACGACACGGACCCUGAAGGUCCCCAGGGCCCCUCCCUGAGCCUGCAGGCACAUCCCUGCCCCACCAAAGCUCAAACCCACCUCUCCUGGAAAUCCCCACCGCAUGUGCUCUCCCGGGAGCUGCAGAGCUGAGGGGAGAAGUCCGCUGUGACAUCCACUGUGAAGUCCGCCGUGAGCCCCUCGGGCAGGCCUGGGUCACACCCCACCUUGUCUCUGGCUCCUAGGGCGCAGUCCAAGGCAUGGUU
rnacentral:lncRNA from 1 species